CAGUUGCAGUAAAUGCUACAUUUUCAUUGAAGAUAUCUGGUCUGUGUUUAGGUUUCAUAAAAUUUACAGUUGAAAAAAUAGAAUCACAACCCCAGAUUGUCCCAAACAUACUUAAAAGUUCCACAAUACCUAAGUCGAGUAUCAGUCUUUACAUUUAAAUUAAUUAAAAUGUAAAUAAAAUUUAAAAUUAAGUUCCUCAGUGUCACUAGCCACAUUUUAAGUGCUCAACAGCUCCUUGGAGCUGGUGGCUAUUUCCUGGGCCGGUCCAUGGGAUGGGGACAAAAUCCUGGAAUGAUUGGUUCCGAGGAAAGAUGUGAGGAAGGGCAUUCCAUGCAGGUGGAAUGAGAUUGGGCAUGCGCCUGUCACAUGCAUGGGACAAUGUGGGAGCCAGUUGGAUAAGAACCAAACAGUUGAGGUUAAAGAGGCAUGGUGGAGUCAGAUUGGAAAGGGGUGGGAUCCCAGGUUAUGAAGUCAAGAUUUUAUUCUGUUGCUAAACAAGAACCACUGUAAUAUUUUUGAGCAGGGAGUGGACUCCACGUGCACCAUUUUAGGAUGAUCCCCCUGGUGCUGGUACCCAUGAGGGAAGGAGUGAGGCAAGACAGCAGCCAGGAAGAGCAGCUUGGAGGUGGCUUCAGUAAUUCAGGUGUGCUCUGAUAGUACCUGGCUAGUGUGAGAAUGCAUAGAACCAUCUGGAGAAUUCUGGAAAACAAGGAGUCUCUUUAGGAUGAGGGCAAGGACAGAGGCUCAGAGGGUGGGAGGCUUGGGGACUGCAUGUUUGGGAGACUGGGCUGACACUGAAAGGUUUAAGGAACCAGAGUGCUUCUGCCUGUCAGAAAGCAACUCCCUUAAGACAGAUGGCUGAACCCAGGUCUAGAAGACUGUUUCUUUUAUGGAUUUUAUUUUAAGCAAAUGUAUAAUUUAUAACAUCCACUCCACCCUCUGAAUCACACGGUGGACCCUGGACUUUGCCCAGAGUCUUAGCGAUUGUGAAAGACACUCCUUAAUUCUAGAGAACUCCCUGAGGUGCUGGAUCCAGGCUGAAUUAAAGACUUCAGAAGUGGGAGGAAAAGUCUAGGCUACAACCAUUCCCUGGCUAGUUGUUUCCAUACCCCUAAAACCUUCCCUGGGGAAAAGCAUUCCUUCUAACGUGAGAAUUCGGGCUUCACUGUGUUGAAAGGAGGAAGGCUCUGUUGGAAAGGAGGCCCUCCCUCCCUCCACACCACCCUGGGCUCCUCUCAUCCUCCAGUGGCCUGAGUCACUGCAAUCGCCAGUCUCCUCCUGUGGAUGGUCCAGGGCAAAAGCAAGCCUGCUGGGGCUGCUGGCACACAGUGAGGGACUGACUUAUGGAUGGCGAAACAAGGCCAGCAACACAUCAUCUGGAUGGCUGGGGAAACUGAAGCUCUGAGCUGUAAAGGGCACUCAUCAAGGUCACACUCAGGGGGUGAUGCUGAUGCGAAUCCAGAAGUGCCUGACUCACGCCAGCUGUCUCAGCAGCACGGUGCACUCCAGGGACUGCGAACCAUUCAAUGUCCCAUUGGGAGCAUGUGAGGACCCCACACUGAUUUACAAACUUUAGGUUUUAUUAUCAUCUCAAUGAGUAGACCUAACUGGAGGAGUUGAAUAGGUAGUUCUGUGCAUGGCACGAAGGUGAUAGGUAAGUGACCAUCGUGGACUUGCCCAUCACUGGAGUGUCUGGUGUCAGGGUGGCCCUUGCCCCGGGCAUGUCCAUGUCCGAGCAGCUUUGAACUCACUGGCUGGGUGGGUCUGGGCAGGCACUUCCUCCUGGCGCUGGCUGGGCACCAGAUGUGGGUUUUUCUAGGUCAGGCGGGUCUAUCUUCAGCUGCCCGAGGAUGCAGUUUGUGUAAACUGCAGACAUCACCCGAGUGCUGUGUAAACACAGACUAUCUCCCGCUCCAGUGUUUCCUCUGGGAAGGCUUCUCCUCCAACUGAGAUGCUUGAUUCUAAUUGUCUUAUCAACUUGAGCUUCCUACCCUGAUAUAAGGAAGCUAUUAAAUUCUGUUUCCUGGUGUUGCCUGGACCUCCCCCGGGCAUGCUCACAUUGAAGUGAAUGUCUCUUAGAGGAGGCUAUUUUUCACCUUUGAAAAUUCUUUAGCCUCAAAUCCCCCACAUCAAACAAGCCUGCAGGCAUUUUGAAAAUGUGUUUAGCCAAAGCCUUAUGCCCUUAACGUUUGCUUCCUACUCCAGCUAGUUUCAGCGUGUUCACUUGGCUUUGGGGACUUUCUCUGUGCCGGCCCAGGCUGCCUCUUGUACCCUAUUUCUGGACUUCUUUUCCAACCCAAUGUCAGUCUCCCUUUUACUAUCCCUCUUAUAAGUCCUGUUCACACCUUUUAAACUUUUCCUCAAACUUGCCCUUCUGAGGAUGAAAGUCCUACCCUCUCUCUCCAAGUGCUAUGGAAAUAAGGAAUGUGAGAAGGAAAUGGUGACGGACUUCCCUCAAGAUCAAGCUAUACAAAAAAUCCAUCUGUACCCUGAGCACACUAACCUUCAUUUCUCUCCCUCUCAUCUGAACUCCCACGGAACUCAGAGCCCCUGCCACACCCUGUAGGACUUGUGGUUGUCCCCCUCCAGGAUGACCUCCACUGGACCUCUCCUCCUGGAAUUCACACCCUCCCCAGCUCUCUUGGAUUGUUCAGCAGGGAGGAAGCCAGCUGCCAUAUUGGAGGGUGCUCAAGCAGCCCCAUGGAGGGGUCCACGUGGAAAAGAACUGAGGCCUAUGGCCAACGGCCGGCGCCAGCUUGCCAGACACCCGAGUGAGCCCGUCUGGGAAGCAGAUCCUCGUCAAGCCCCAGGCAAUCUCUUGUCUGUAGCCUCUUAAGAGAUCCUGAGCUAGAACCCGGCAGCUGUGAGUUGCUGCCAAAUUCCUGGCCCCAAGGAAAUCAUGUGAGAUAAUAAAUGUUUAUUGUUGUAUUAAGUGGUGAAGUUUUGGGGUGAUCUGUUAUGCAGCAAUAAAAAUCAAAUUCAGAACUUAAAAAUAAAAAAUGAUAAUCAUCAUCAUCCUAAGAGCAAUUGACAUUACUGAGUGCUAUUAACAAUGUAGUCAACAAUAAUAAUUACAGCCAUGAACACCGACCA